AGCUCCAAAAGUGUAUAUUUAAGUUGUUGCGGUUGAAAAGCUCGUAGUUGGAUUUUGGGACGGCGCGUUCGGUCGGACGCAAGUCUUGUACUGGACGCGUUAUCCUCACAUGACCGGUGCCUCUAAGGUGCUCUUAACUGAAGUGUCUGUGCGGUCCGGGAAGUUUACCUUGAAAAAAUUAGAGUGUUCAAAGCAGGCUUUAAAGCUUGAAUAAUGUUGCAUGGAAUAAUGGAAUAGGACCUCGGUUCUAUUUUGUUGGUUUCUUGAACGCGAGGUAAUGAUUAAGAGGAACGGACGGGGGCAUCCGUACUGUGCCGUUAGAGGUGAAAUUCUUGGAUCGGCGCAAGACGAACAACUGCGAAAGCAUUUGCCAAGAAUGUUUUCU
rnacentral:rRNA from 1 species